UUUUUUGGACCAGAUACCCCAUCUUUGGACUUUUCACCUUCGGAAUCAGUCUUUACUCUCUCAUUGGGAUUGAUGGUUCCACCUCGAACAAAAGCCUUAGACCCAGGUGUGUUGUCCCCUUGAAAUGACUCCACAAACUCAGCAUACAAUCGGGCUGUUUCAUCAUCCUCUCUCUUCUUCUUUGCUUCUUCCUCCUCUCUAUGCUUCUGGAAAGGUGUCUUUUUGCG
rnacentral:misc_RNA from 1 species